rnacentral:lncRNA from 1 species
CCUAGUACAGAAGAUCAUCAGAGGCACACACGUUUGUUAGAACACAAGAGGUGGGAAGUGUUCCCAUUCUGAUGAUCUUUAAGAGUUAUAGCUGAAGAAAUACAGCCCAUCCUUGACAUUGGUUCCUUUCAUAACAAAUUAUUUUAAAUGUCACCAAUAAGACUUCAGAGUCUUUUGAAGACCAAAGACAAGAUUGAAAAUGGAGCAAAUGCCUGUUUCAGUUCCUGAAAUGAAGACAUUAGCAGCAUAAUAGAAGGCACCUGGAAGAUUUUAAAUGCUAUUUAAGAGCAGAAUGGAUAAGUGCCAUAUAGUGUGAAAAUUAAAU